rnacentral:rRNA from 1 species
AGUGAACGCUGGCGGUAGGCCUAACACAUGCAAGUCGAACGGCAGCACAGUAAGAGUUUGCUUCUACGGGUGGCGAGUGGCGGGCGGGUGAGGCAUACAUAGGCAUCUUCUUUUUCGUGGGGGAUAACGUAGGGAAACUUCUGCUAAUACCUCAUAUGUUCUACGGGAUGAAGCAGUGGUUCUUUGCAACUUUCCUGUCUGUAAGAGCCGACUUCGGAUUAGCUAGUUGGCGAGGUAAAGGCCCACCAAGGCGACGAUCCGUAGCUGGUCUGAGAGGAUGAUCAGCCACACUGGAACUGAGACACGGUCCAGACUCCUACGGGAGGCAGCAGUGGGGAAUAUUGGACAAUGGGCGCAAGCCUGAUCCAGCCAUACCGCGUGGGUGAAGAAGGCCUUCGGGUUGUAAAGCCCUUUUGUUGGGAAAGAAAAGCAGCAGGUUAAUACCCCGCUGUUCUGACGGUACCCAAAGAACAAGCACCGGCUAACUUCGUG